rnacentral:rRNA from 1 species
ACGUAGGGUGCGAGCGUUAAUCGGAAUUACUGGGCGUAAAGCGUGCGCAGGCGGUUUUGUAAGCCAGAUGUGAAAUCCCCGGGCUUAACCUGGGAAUGGCAUUUGGGACUGCAAGGCUGGAGUGCGGCAGAGGAGACUGGAAUUCCUGGUGUAGCAGUGAAAUGCGUAGAUAUCAGGAGGAAUACCGAUGGCGAAGGCAGGUCUCUGGGCUGACACUGACGCUCAUGCACGAAAGCGUGGGGAGCAAACAGGA